GUGUUUGUGUUUCUGUGUUUAUCUAUUUGAAUCGUUCUUGUGUGUGGAUGUAUAUAAGUAUUUCUUUAUAUUCACCCGUCUUGUGUCUUUUAUAUCAUGAUAGAAAUAUUAGCAGAAUGGAGUAGGAAAAUAAAAAACUUAAACGUGCAAAGAGAGGAAGAUGUACACUAAUUAAAAUGCUUCUGUGGCAGUUUGCUUGCAUGUAGAUAAGUACGUAGAAGAGGAGGAUCUUUUUUACAGAGCCAAAUAAAGGACUGGUCUUCUUCCUGGAACUUUUCUGAAACAAGACAAGAACUGAAAGUGCACCAGUUACAAGACUGUUCUCCAGGUGGCCAGGGACGGACCCAGUUCUCCUCCAUUUCUUGCUUGUAGUCUGAAGAACAACUGUAGAGUGUGUGGGAAUGCCCAUAUCCCGAGGUAGGGAGGAACUGCCUGAAACAGCCUGGGCCUGGCUCCUGGCUCUCCUAAAGAAUGUAACGUCUUGAAUUAAGGAGGAACUGCUAGGACAACUAGAGCUUUGUUUCUCUCUCCCUGGAAGUAGGGUGAGGUUUAGCCUGGUGAUUCCCGUGACCCCUGAUGUAUGGAGCCUGGAGUAAGCUGCUUUGGGGGGCCCUCAGCUGCAACACCAGUAGGGCAUGUGCAAUUGAAGCUCCAUCCACCCAAGGCAGCUUUCACAAGCCUUGGGGAGCGGGCACACAAUGGAUUCUAGGCUUCUGUUGUCUCUUGCUUCCUAUCUGUAAGUAAUACAUUUGCUUCAUGUAACUUGUUGCAUGUUAGUGUCUUCUGUCUCACCAGGCUCAGGCAGGUUCAC